ensembl:lncRNA
CCCCCCUUCCCAAGGGGCUUCUGAACCACUUGUGGAGACCGGCAGCUCCGUCCACCUCGGCCCCCAGCUCAUUGCUGGCUUGCAAAGACUUCUUUGCACACCGUCCCCCGCAGCCUCCCCCUGGUCUCUGGGGCGACUGACUUGCGGAGAAAGGGCAGCCCCUAAGGAAGCGCGGAGGGGGAGCUCUCACCUGACAAACGCCAGUCUGAGCGCGGGAGACGCCGGGCAGGCUUCAGCAGCGCUUCCGAGCGAGAGAGGCGGGCUGUGUCCUGAAAUAACCCUGCAACUAGGGCGGGGGGAGCGCGGGCGGCGGGGGGGAAGUAAUGCUAAGCACGGGCUGAGAGAGGAGAGGCACAGCCAGAGAGCCGGAGCGAGGCCGGGCUCUGUUUCUCUUUCUCUUCCCCGGGGAGGAGCCGCCUGGGCAUUGCCCAGCUCCUGCAGAUGCCUAGCACGCGCCCCGCGCCCCACUCUGCGCUGCGCUGCGCUGCGGGACAAAGGUGGACGGGCACAGUGACCGCGCUGUCGUCACCUGCUCCCCCAGCCGUUUGCCCAGCUGGGCAGAGGGCAGGUUGAGAACGGGGUGGGGGUGGGGAGGCGUGUGGCCGGUCCCUUUUUUGACAGAUUUCAAGACAACCUCCCUGCUCCUGUUCUCUCUGUUACCAUACUCGCUCAUCUGUUCGCGGGCUGCUAAAGUAGUUAUGUGGCGUGGCCUCUUAACCUCAUUUCUGCAGCGGACUAGCCAGGCUUAGGAGGCAGCACUUUUUGAGGGUCCCUCCCUUUAUGCCACGUGUCCUCAAAAUUACAGAAAUCCUCGGGCAUCUACUCUAGCUCCUGAUCGCUCUCUCUCGAGACAGAAAAUGAAUCCAGAGUCCCUGUUCAAAGCAUCCUGGUAUUAUAAUUGUGUGCAAUGGCCUAUGGCAAUCUGGUGUCUGGGGAAUGCAAAGAAAGACUUCGAAAUCUUCCAGAAAAAAGACCUCUUACUGCAAGAUCCAGGUUUCGUGAAAGGGCACGGCACAGCACCGCCACUCAACCCUUUCCCCUCCCCCCCAGAUGUGGAUCCUCAAUCCCAUGGAGGGGCUUCCACAAGGAUCUGGGAAAUAAUGGAACAGAGUUGAUAGAGGUCCAAAGGAUUUUCAUCUCCCCAGCCCACAAAGUCAGAGGGGAUGGCAGACAUGUGAGCAAGGACUUCAAGGGCUGCAGACUUGGAUUGAAAUAUAAUUUUAAAAGGGAUGUCUCUCUCCAGAGACAAAGAGGAAGAAUUUUAUGCAGAAUGGCUUCCCUCCUGCCCAGAUACCAUACAAGAAGAUUCAGAGAAGAUUUCAUUAUAUCUCACCAUGGACUAACUUACAGAACUCUUAACUCCCCUGUAUAUAAUUUUGGAGAAUCCACAGGACCCAUAUGGACUGAAACACUGGACCCUUUUGGUUUAGUUUUGUUUAAAACCCAGAGAGGUAAAAAUGUAACAUCCUUUGUGUUAAUGUAUCACAUUGCUGCUGACUGAAUAUGCAUGGAGUAACCAAUAAAUGACCUAUUUUAAAAAAUAAUCA